rnacentral:lncRNA from 1 species
UUAUUUUCUUGCUCUUUCAUCUUCUUCUGUCUCCAUCUACCUUUCUUCUUCUGCUUUAUUUGAUUCAAGAACAUGCACAAAGAUGAGUUCAGAAUUAAACAAGGCCUUGAAAGAAAUUCCAUUGGAAAAUGUAGAAGUCUUAGCAAUAAUCUAACUUGUCACAGUUGCAGAAUUAAUCCAAGAAAUCACAAAGUCAGUGGAGAAAAUUUACGAACCUUGUCUCUCUGCCACCGGUUUGUUUUUCCAUGUCCUUCUUGCUCUCUCCAGUGAUGUAGUAGAUGUCUUUCUGACCCUCCUUCAUUCUGGUAACAUAGUCCUUUAUUUUUAUUAUCUCACUUUUUCUUUGACACUCUUGUAGUUGAGAUUUGUUGAUGCUAAAGGGAUGGUGUCUUCUUGCACUGAUUUAGGAGAGUUCUUUGUUUUUGGCAAUUCUUUACAAGUUUCUUGAUUCUGAACAAUGUUUGAAGCAAUCUGAAGAGCAGUUUGAUGAAAUUAAGAUGCGGUUAGUUACUUAGCAGAAGAAGACUUUAUCACCAUUUAAGAAUGCAGAUAAUGGUUGCCGAAAGAACUAUGAAAUGUGGCGUAUGUUAAUGCUGAUGGUCAGGAACAACUUCACUUCCAUUCUUGCUUUCAUAAGAUGAAGCCUUGGAGAAGACUUCUGCAGGAAAGAAUGUUAUGGUCUUUGUGAUUUGUGAUUCAAAUUCGUUCCCAUCUUCAGCAAGAUUAAAUUUAAUCAGUUCUG